CAGAGAAACUUAAAGCCUGUGGUGAACAACAAAACCCAAACCCAGUUCAGCUCCUGAUAAGAUCGACAAUCUUGGGCAUUAAUGGCCUAACAGAAUAAACAUACCCGUUUCCAGACAUAAAUAUUAUCUCAGUAUCUGUCCUACCUACUAUGUCUGGCAAUUGCUCAAAAAUUACAGGACACAACCUUUCCAGCGCCAGCCCAGAGCCAGCUGUCCUCCACGCACCAGCAUCCAGUGAGACGCGCCGCGCACCCACGGAGCGGACACAGGCGGAGCGGUGGUGGCCAGGCUCGGACUGGGGCGGCUGCUCCGGGCACUCCUCUGACCUACGCAGGUUUAUUCAAAUCAAACAACUGUUCCACCAGUUUCAAGGAACUCCUCCCAGACUACCUCGGCUGCCCCAAAUCCAGCUAAUGCCACCACCAAGGCAAAUAACGGUGCCCUGCAGUCAACAGCCAGUCUCUUCACGAUCUCGGUCUCCCUUCUACAUCUCUACUGCUAAGAGACGCAGGCCAAGAAACAUCUGUAUUUCCCCAUCUUCGAAACUCAAUUCAUAUGGCAUCUAGACACCCAGUGUGACAAGGAAAAUCAAUACUUCCCCAUUUCAAAACU